rnacentral:tRNA from 2 species
AAAUUUUUAGUAAGAGGAAAAUCCGUCGAUUUAAAAAAUCGUGAGGGUUCAAGUCCCUCUAUCCCCA